rnacentral:rRNA from 1 species
AGCUCCAAUAGCGUAUAUUAAAGUUGUUGCAGUUAAAAAGCUCGUAGUUGGAUUUCUGGGUCAAGCUCCUGGUCCGCCGCAAUGCGGUGCAGACUGUGUGUAGCGUUGGCUCAUCCUUGUGGGAAAAGCAGUCGGGCGUUCAUUCGUCAGCUGUGGGAACCGCAUCAUUUACUGUGAAAAAAUUAGAGUGUUCAAAGCAGGCUUACGCUGUGAAUACAUUAGCAUGGAAUAAUAAGAUAGGACUUUGGUUCUAUUUUGUUGGUUGGAGGCCAAGGUAAUGAUUAAUAGGGAUAGUUGGGGGUAUUCAUAUUUAAUUGUCAGAGGUGAAAUUCUUGGAUUUAUGAAAGAUGAACUUAUGCGAAAGCAUUUACCAAGGAUGUUU